rnacentral:rRNA from 1 species
AGAGUUUGAUCAUGGCUCAGAACGAACGCUGGCGGCAUGCCUAACACAUGCAAGUCGAACGAGGUUUCCACUUCGGUGGUUUCCUAGUGGCGCACGGGUGAGUAACGCGUGGGAACCUGCCCUGUGGUACGGAAUAACUCCGGGAAACUGGAGCUAAUACCGUAUGUGUCCUGCGGGACAAAGAUUUAUCGCCAUGGGAUGGGCCCGCGUAGGAUUAGCUUGUUGGCGGGGUAACGGCCCACCAAGGCUUCGAUCCUUAGCUGGUCUGAGAGGAUGAUCAGCCACACUGGGACUGAGACACGGCCCAGACUCCUACGGGAGGCAGCAGUGGGGAAUAUUGGACAAUGGGCGCAAGCCUGAUCCAGCAAUGCCGCGUGAGUGAUGAAGGCCUUCGGGUUGUAAAGCUCUUUCGCACGCGACGAUGAUGACGGUAGCGUGAGAAGAAGCCCCGGCUAACUUCGUGCCAGCAGCCGCGGUAAUACGAAGGGGGCUAGCGUUGUUCGGAAUUACUGGGCGUAAAGGGCGCGUAGGCGGUGUGUCAAGUCAGGCGUGAAAGCCCCGGGCUCAACCUGGGAACCGCGCUUGAGACUGGCACGCUCGAGUUCGGGAGAGGAUGGUGGAAUUCCCAAUGUAGAGGUGAAAUUCGUAGAUAUUGGGAAGAACACCGAUGGCGAAGGCAGCCAUCUGGACCGACACUGACGCUGAGGCGCGAAAGCGUGGGGAGCAAACAGGAUUAGAUACCCUAGUAGUCC